ACGAACGCUGGCGGCGUGCUUAACACAUGCAAGUCGAACGGAAAGGCCCUGCUUUUGUGGGGUGCUCGAGUGGCGAACGGGUGAGUAACACGUGAGUAACCUGCCCUUGACUUUGGGAUAACUUCAGGAAACUGGGGCUAAUACCGGAUAGGAGCUCCUGCUGCAUGGUGGGGGUUGGAAAGUUUCGGCGGUUGGGGAUGGACUCGCGGCUUAUCAGCUUGUUGGUGGGGUAGUGGCUUACCAAGGCUUUGACGGGUAGCCGGCCUGAGAGGGUGACCGGCCACAUUGGGACUGAGAUACGGCCCAGACUCCUACGGGAGGCAGCAGUGGGGAAUAUUGCACAAUGGGCGGAAGCCUGAUGCAGCAACGCCGCGUGCGGGAUGACGGCCUUCGGGUUGUAAACCGCUUUCGCCUGUGACGAAGCGUGAGUGACGGUAAUGGGUAAAGAAGCACCGGCUAACUACGUGCCAGCAGCCGCGGUGAUACGUAGGGUGCGAGCGUUGUCCGGAUUUAUUGGGCGUAAAGGGCUCGUAGGUGGUUGAUCGCGUCGGAAGUGUAAUCUUGGGGCUUAACCCUGAGCGUGCUUUCGAUACGGGUCGACUUGAGGAAGGUAGGGGAGAAUGGAAUUCCUGGUGGAGCGGUGGAAUGCGCAGAUAUCAGGAGGAACACCAGUGGCGAAGGCGGUUCUCUGGGCCUUUCCUGACGCUGAGGAGCGAAAGCGUGGGGAGCGAACAGGCUUAGAUACCCUGGUAGUCCACGCUGUAAACGGUGGGUACUAGGUGUGGGGUCCAUUCCACGGGUUCCGUGCCGUAGCUAACGCUUUAAGUACCCCGCCUGGGGAGUACGGCCGCAAGGCUAAAACUCAAAGGAAUUGACGGGGCCCCGCACAAGCGGCGGAGCAUGCGGAUUAAUUCGAUGCAACGCGUAGAACCUUACCUGGGUUUGACAUGGAUCGGGAGUGCUCAGAGAUGGGUGUGCCUCUUUUGGGGUCGGUUCACAGGUGGUGCAUGGCUGUCGUCAGCUCGUGUCGUGAGAUGUUGGGUUAAGUCCCGCAACGAGCGCAACCCUUGUUCACUGUUGCCAGCACGUUAUGGUGGGGACUCAGUGGAGACCGCCGGGGUCAACUCGGAGGAAGGUGGGGAUGGCGUCAAGUCAUCAUGCCCCUUAUGUCCAGGGCUUCACGCAUGCUACAAUGGCUGGUACAGAGAGUGGCGAGCCUGUGAGGGUGAGCGAAUCUCGGAAAGCCGGUCUCAGUUCGGAUUGGGGUCUGCAACUCGACCUCAUGAAGUCGGAGUCGCUAGUAAUCGCAGAUCAGCAACGCUGCGGUGAAUACGUUCCCGGGGCUUGUACACACCGCCCGUCAAGUCAUGAAAGUUGGUAACACCCGAAGCCGGUGGCCUAACCGUUGUGGGGGAGCCGUCGAAGGUGGGACUGGUGAUUAGGACUAAG
rnacentral:rRNA from 1 species